CCCGGCUCCCUUUUAUGAAUGGGGGGCUGGAGAGAGACUGGCUGCGAGCCGCGGAGGACGGAUACGGCUUUCUCUCUCGCUGUUUGCUGUCCCCAUCCCCCGCUUAUUUAUUUAUUUAUUCAUUUUGUGAAUGGAGGGCAGGCGGUGACAGCUGCGCACGUACCGCGCCCUCUGCCCGGCCUGAAGGGAGGAUCAAAGCCCGGGGAGGACCCUUCAGCUGUUUGCUUUUCCUUUAUGCAGAAACUUUACCACGGCUGCCCUGAAAACCCCACCAAACACAACUAAGAAUCCCUCCUCAGAAAAGCAAACGACUUUCCACAGCCUAAAGUAAGGUGUUGGUUAUCUGCUGGCAUUUCUCUCCCUCUGCUGCAGCUGCCUUGGCAGAAGAAGAGCCUGGAGUGAUGGGGCUGCUGCAUGGUGCAGGUGGGUUCUUGGCCUCUUAUUUGUUUGUUGUUUUUUUUUUUUUCUUUUUACCUUUCGGGCACCUUUUCUAAGCCAGAAGUGGUUUAUAUGUGUAUUGCUGCUCAGAAUGUCCUGGGGCUUCUCCUG
rnacentral:lncRNA from 1 species